UAAUACUGGAUAGGCAAUUAUUCCUGUAAUGGUUUUUUGUUUAAAUGUUUUUUCGCCUAAGGAUGGGUCUGCGGCCGAUUAGGUAGUUGGUUAGGUAAUGGCUUACCAAGCCUUUGAUCGGUACGGGUUGUGAGAGCAAGAGCCCGGAGAUGGAACCUGAGACAAGGUUCCAGGCCCUACGGGGUGCAGCAGGCGCGAAACCUCCGCAAUGUGAGAAAUCGCGACGGGGGGAUCCCAAGUGCCAUUCUUAACGGGAUGGCUUUUCUUUAGUGUAAAAAGCUUUUGGAAUAAGAGCUGGGCAAGACCGGUGCCAGCCGCCGCGGUAACACCGGCAGCUCUAGUGGUAGCAAUUUUUAUUGGGCCUAAAGCGUCCGUAGCCGGUUUAAUAAGUCUCUGGUGAAAUCCUGUAGCUUAACUGUGGGAAUUGCUGGAGAUACUAUUAGACUUGAGACCGGGAGAGGUUAGAGGUACUCCCAGGGUAGAGGUGAAAUUCUGUAAUCCUGGGAGGACCGCCUGUUGCGAAGGCGUCUAACUGGAACGGUUCUGACGGUGAGGGACGAAAGUUAGGGGCGCGAACCGGAUUAAAUACCCGGGUAGUCCUAACUGUCAACGAUGCGGACUUGGUGU
rnacentral:rRNA from 1 species